AAUUUUACUAGAUUUCUUGUUUUCCAUUUUUGAACAAUGAAUAUUCUGUUUAUAAAAUUUUACUAUUUUCCACAGUCACCCUUAUACACAAUAGAUAAUUUUUAUUUUCUUAGUUCUUUGUAUUCGAACAAUAAGUUUUGUUGUGAUAGAUAAAGUCGUUAGAGACACAAAAAGUCGAUGGCAACCGGUGAUCGACCAGAAAAGUCACCACCGGCGCCGAAAGUGGUGGCUGGACUUGAUAGUGUAGCUGAGUUG
rnacentral:lncRNA from 1 species